AUUGAACGCUGGCGGCAGGCCUAACACAUGCAAGUCGAACGGUAACACGAAGAAGCUUGCUUCUUUGCUGACGAGUGGCGGACGGGUGAGUAAUGUCUGGGAAACUGCCUGAUGGAGGGGGAUAACUACUGGAAACGGUAGCUAAUACCGCAUAACGUCGCAAGACCAAAGAGGGGGACCUUCGGGCCUCUUGCCAUCGGAUGUGCCCAGAUGGGAUUAGCUAGUAGGUGGGGUAACGGCUCACCUAGGCGACGAUCCCUUGCUGGUCUGAGAGGAUGACCAGCCACACUGGAACUGAGACACGGUCCAGACUCCUACGGGAGGCAGCAGUGGGGAAUAUUGCACAAUGGGCGCAAGCCUGAUGCAGCCAUGCCGCGUGUAUGAAGAAGGCCUUCGGGUUGUAAAGUACUUUCAGCGGGGAGGAAGGGAGUAAAGUUAAUACCUUUGCUCAGUGACGUUACCCGCAGAAGAAGCACCGGCUAACUCCGUG
rnacentral:rRNA from 1 species